UUGACCCUGCCUGUAUCGUUAUCUGUAUGGUAUAAGAAGCGAAUGUGGUGCUGCUGUGCCUGUAGAUUUCUCGAGACGAGGAGCGUACAAUGAAGAAGUACUGUCUGCUGACGUCAGUGCUGCUGUUGCUGACGCUUAUGGUGGCCAUUUUCUCGGCCUCUGCCACGCAAGAGUCUGUGACGACGCCCAAGUCAAGGCGGAGGAUGAUUGACCCGAUUCUCAGGUGUCCGGACGGCACUGUCCUAGUCGGUGGCUCCUGUCGAAGAGCACUAAAGAUUAACAGGUGAUAAGACGUCAACAAUGAAGAAAAAUAUCAUAUGAAGAUAUAUUAGAAUAUUUGGAGAAGACAACCUCAGACAUUAAGCAAUUCCAUACCUCUGGUUAGUAAUAAAUGGAAGAAGACUGUUGUAAACGAAGAAUUUCGAAGAAGAUUUUGGGAGAUGUCACCUCUUAACUCAUCCUGUGAAAUCCUAAUCACAAACUUUAGGAGAGACUAUUUGAUAUCUGUUUCCUAAGUCAUUCUUAGAAGAAUGAAGAAAAAAACUGAUUCUAAUGUUAACAGCGCUGGUAUAAAUGGAAACUAUAUUCUUCUGUCAUUAAAACUAACCCCAAGUAUAAAAUAAAUAGUCGCGAAUAAAAUACAA